ensembl:misc_RNA 7SK 7SK RNA
UGAUGCAAAGAAGGUCUGGCUGUUGCCACCUGCCACCCCAUUGAGUACUAGGGUUGAUUUGGUUAAUCUGGCUGGCUUGCAGGUGUUACUUUCCUCCUUCCCUCUACUCCGUGUGUUCAUGAUCCUUCCCAAAUCUUUGUGCCUGGUUGAUGAUGACAAUUCUUUCCCCCUAGAAGAGAACUACUCCUAAGCCAAGGGUUAGAGAAUAGUUUGUGCUCUUCAGGUAGAACCUGCAGCACGGGCCUCAGAGGGGUUGCAUUUCCAGCCACGGAGAGCUGUGUUCAAAUUCAGUGUUUUGCAACAGGGCCUCU